GAUGAACGCUAGCUACAGGCUUAACACAUGCAAGUCGAGGGGCAGCAUUUUAGUUUGCUUGCAAACUGAAGAUGGCGACCGGCGCACGGGUGAGUAACACGUAUCCAACCUGCCGAUAACUCCGGGAUAGCCUUUCGAAAGAAAGAUUAAUACCGGAUAGUAUACGAAUAUCGCAUGAUAUUUUUAUUAAAGAAUUUCGGUUAUCGAUGGGGAUGCGUUCCAUUAGUUUGUUGGCGGGGUAACGGCCCACCAAGACUACGAUGGAUAGGGGUUCUGAGAGGAAGGUCCCCCACAUUGGAACUGAGACACGGUCCAAACUCCUACGGGAGGCAGCAGUGAGGAAUAUUGGUCAAUGGGCGCGAGCCUGAACCAGCCAAGUAGCGUGAAGGAUGAAGGCUCUAUGGGUCGUAAACUUCUUUUAUAUGGGAAUAAAGUUUUCCACGUGUGGAAUUUUGUAUGUACCAUAUGAAUAAGGAUCGGCUAACUCCGUGCCAGCAGCCGCGGUAAUACGGAGGAUCCGAGCGUUAUCCGGAUUUAUUGGGUUUAAAGGGAGCGUAGGUGGAUUGUUAAGUCAGUUGUGAAAGUUUGCGGCUCAACCGUAAAAUUGCAGUUGAAACUGGCAGUCUUGAGUACAGUAGAGGUGGGCGGAAUUCGUGGUGUAGCGGUGAAAUGCUUAGAUAUCACGAAGAACUCCGAUUGCGAAGGCAGCUCACUAGACUGUCACUGACACUGAUGCUCGAAAGUGUGGGUAUCAAACAGGAUUAGAUACCCUGGUAGUCCACACAGUAAACGAUGAAUACUCGCUGUUUGCGAUAUACAGUAAGCGGCCAAGCGAAAGCAUUAAGUAUUCCACCUGGGGAGUACGCCGGCAACGGUGAAACUCAAAGGAAUUGACGGGGGCCCGCACAAGCGGAGGAACAUGUGGUUUAAUUCGAUGAUACGCGAGGAACCUUACCCGGGCUUAAAUUGCAACAGAAUAUAUUGGAAACAGUAUAGCCGUAAGGCUGUUGUGAAGGUGCUGCAUGGUUGUCGUCAGCUCGUGCCGUGAGGUGUCGGCUUAAGUGCCAUAACGAGCGCAACCCUUAUCUUUAGUUACUAACAGGUUAUGCUGAGGACUCUAGAGAGACUGCCGUCGUAAGAUGUGAGGAAGGUGGGGAUGACGUCAAAUCAGCACGGCCCUUACGUCCGGGGCUACACACGUGUUACAAUGGGGGGUACAGAAGGCGGCUACCUGGUGACAGGAUGCUAAUCCCAAAAACCUCUCUCAGUUCGGAUCGAAGUCUGCAACCCGACUUCGUGAAGCUGGAUUCGCUAGUAAUCGCGCAUCAGCCAUGGCGCGGUGAAUACGUUCCCGGGCCU
rnacentral:rRNA from 1 species